rnacentral:rRNA from 1 species
GACGAACGCUGGCGGCGUGCUUAACACAUGCAAGUCGAACGGAAAGGCCCUGCUUUUGUGGGGUGCUCGAGUGGCGAACGGGUGAGUAACACGUGAGUAACCUGCCCUUGACUUUGGGAUAACUUCAGGAAACUGGGGCUAAUACCGGAUAGGAGCUCCUGCUGCAUGGUGGGGGUUGGAAAGUUUCGGCGGUUGGGGAUGGACUCGCGGCUUAUCAGCUUGUUGGUGGGGUAGUGGCUUACCAAGGCUUUGACGGGUAGCCGGCCUGAGAGGGUGACCGGCCACAUUGGGACUGAGAUACGGCCCAGACUCCUACGGGAGGCAGCAGUGGGGAAUAUUGCACAAUGGGCGGAAGCCUGAUGCAGCAACGCCGCGUGCGGGAUGACGGCCGUCGGGUUGUAAACCGCUUUCGCCUGUGACGAAGCGUGAGUGACGGUAAUGGGUAAAGAAGCACCGGCUAACUACGU